CCGCCGCCGCCGGACGGCCCCCGCCCCUUUUCCCUCUGCGAGCCGCAGCGCAGGGGCGGCGGUGAGACCAAGGAGCCGGCCGAUGGCCAUGGCCUUGGCGUGACAGAGCCUCCCGGGCGGCCGGGCGGGUGCGGACGGCAGGGCCGGACGACGCCCGCGGGAGCCGCGGCCCAGAGACCCGUCCGGGCAGCAGAGACUGGAGCAGAGUACACAGGCCCGGGCCGGCUCGGCGGCGCGAGCAGGAAGCGGGGUCCCUGGGCCCCUUUGUGUGAAGGGCGGGGGAGGGGUACGGGGCAGCCCCCGGCCGCGGGCUCCUCCGACGCCCGCCUUCCCGCGGGAGCCCCCGUCGGUCCUGCGGCGCCCACCCCUUCCCUCCGGGGGGCGCGCCUCGCCUCCCCCCGACUCCGGGCUGCUCCGGGCUCGCCCUCUCCCCACGCCCCCUGCCUGGGCUUCAGUUCCUAUAGGAAGGGCAUUACCAUCCCAUCCCCACCCACCCCGACACUUCGCUCUUUCCCCUCCCCCUCCUUUAACUUCCUCUUCUUCCCCCGUUGGGCCCUCGGCUGCUCUGCACUCUCCUCCCGGGUUCGCAGAUUUCCGCCCACCUUCCGCCUCCCAGAGCCGCGCCGCAGCGAGCGGGGUGUAAUUUUUCCCUCCCUCUGGUAGGAGUUGGGGAAGGUGAGACUCAUGAGGGAAUACAAGGUAGUGGUGUUAGGGAGCGGAGGGGUUGGCAAAUCUGCCCUGACUGUGCAGUUUGUCACUGGGACUUUCAUUGAGAAAUAUGACCCCACCAUUGAAGAUUUCUACCGCAAAGAGAUCGAAGUGGACUCUUCCCCCUCCGUGCUGGAAAUUCUGGACACCGCAGGAACUGAGCAGUUUGCCUCCAUGAGAGAUCUGUACAUCAAAAACGGCCAAGGUUUCAUCCUGGUUUAUAGUCUGGUUAAUCAACAGUCUUUUCAGGAUAUCAAGCCAAUGAGAGAUCAGAUUGUCAGAGUGAAGAGAUAUGAAAAAGUCCCACUGAUCCUAGUAGGAAAUAAAGUGGAUCUGGAACCAGAAAGAGAGGUUAUGUCUUCAGAAGGCAGAGCUCUGGCUCAAGAAUGGGGCUGUCCUUUCAUGGAGACAUCGGCAAAAAGUAAAUCAAUGGUGGAUGAACUUUUUGCCGAGAUCGUCAGGCAAAUGAACUAUUCUUCCCUGCCCGAGAAGCAAGAUCAGUGUUGUACAACUUGCGUUGUCCAGUAAAAAAAAAAGAUAACCUCAAUCAUGGCCAUACCGAGCAGACAAGACCUUCUGUCAGCUAGUGUCAUCUUUGAAAAUGAAGGAUGACAACAGUGCUUUAUUCAAAAUGCUUUCACUCAUCAGUUUUUGAGCAUACCAGAAUGAGAUGAAAAUACAUUCAUUGUCUUAUACCUAGCUCCAUCUGUUAUCAUAUAGUGUCACUGUGCAGACUGUAGCCCAGCAUAUAUUUUGUUGAUAUCAUCACACUUGCAAUAUAGUUUUUUGAGGCAGGAACAGGCCUAUGUAGGUGAUUGAGUCCAGGGUUCUUGAUACCACAAUGUCUCUUCUUAAAUUGUAAGCCAGCUUCAAGUUUGAGCAAGUUCUGUGUGGUGUCGCAUCUUUACCAUUAUGCUCUACUUCUCUAUCUGACACUUUUAACCAGGCAAAUGAUGUAAGUGUAUGCAUUUUAGUUUUAUCAUCUUUAUAAAAAAUUAACCAGCUCCUGCAAAAUGUUCCCAGUUUUUUUCCGUCAUUAAUGUAGACAGCUAUAGGAAGGAAACUGAAUAAAAUUGGUCUCACAUGUAGAGGGCCACUGUCUUAGUCAAAUUGGCGAAUGAGUAAUGUCUAAAGCUAUUUUUAAAGAUUUCUUAUUCUGAGUUAUUUCUGAGUUUAUUUCAUUUUGCAGCUUUUGUGAUCUAAAUUACUUUUAAUCUGUUUGGUUACCUACAAGAAUGAUUAAGUAGACUUUUUAAUAUCUCAAGGAAACUAUGUUUAUAUUUUUUGUUAACUAAGGUACUGAAAUCAGAAAAUAUUAAUAACAAUAAUUGCUCAUUUUUAUAAUAAUGGGUUAAGUUGCCUGUGUAGUUUUUGUUUGGUUUUUAUAAGCAGAAUACACAAUUGAAGGUGUGAGUCUUGAAAUAAAAUAUCUAAUCAGCUGGAUUUCUGAAAAUGUUAUAGGGAGUCGCCUGACCAAGAUCUUUUAGAACAAAGCACACUAUAUGCAGUGGGUUUUUUUGCUAUCAAAUAAAAUUGAACUGAUGUGCACAGGUAUCUGUGAUUGGAGGUCCAUAAAGUGUGUGGUUGUGCUUGCUUACUAUUUAUUUGAAAAAAUAGGUGAUGGAUUCUGAGUCCUGUAGCUUGAGUCAUAGAGCUCUGAAGUCUAUCAGUCCCAGAUUUAGAUGGAAGAUCAAACUUUGACAAAUAAAGGUGAUUUGGGAAAUGUUUGUCCUUAAUAUUUAGAAGAGUACCUUGUCCAAGUUAGAGAUAGUAAGACUCAAGUAAGUCAGAAGAACUGUGAUUGUUGUAAGUUGGUUUCUCUUAAUUGAAAGGGAAAAUAUAUUAAUGCUGUAAGCAUUACUGCUGAUAAUUCCUCACAUUUAUUUCUUACCACCCUUCAAUUUGAGUCACCAGUCUGUUGCCCAACACCUGUUUAUCUGCAUGGCUCCCAGGAUUGUUUCCUCACCUUUCACCCUCCCACUGGCAGUAAUCUUACUGUAAGUUUGGAAGCAAUGCCAGAUUCCUUAUGCACUGCUUUCGUGGCUGGUUUCCUUACUGACCUGAGGAGCCUGCCGUCAACUGCUUUGAAGGACUUCAUUUACUGUGCAGCAGAAGUAUAAUAGAAACCCAGAUAAAACUCAGAGGAAAUUUGCACAGAUGCUGCUUUGGAGAACUUUACAACCUGGGUUGCAGAACUGAGCCUUGGUAAACCUGUCUCUAUUACAGCAUGUUGCCAUACAUCUAAUUAAGUGCAUAAGGUCUUUGGCCUUCAAGAUCCAUUGACCUUAAACAGGAAUGCUUAGCACGUUUACCAUAUGUUUAAAAUCUGUUCUUUAUCAAUCAGUCCUUUUGUAGCUUUCUAAGUUCUUAUUGAUGGCUAAUAUGCAAGAAUUAAUUUUUAAUAUUUUAAUUGAUUUCUUUAAUCAGUUUCUCAACUUGUAUUUAUUAAAUACUCAAACUCAGUAUUACCUACUCAAUGCCUUUUAAAAGAAAGUUAUAAUGGAGAAAAAAUUGAGCCUUAAACAAAUGGUUACUUCUGUAUAUUACCUCGCACCAGUGCUUCAUUCUAUUUGUAAAAUCUUUCUCCUUUAAAUGGUUGGUUAAUACUUUGAGCCUUUGUUUACGUGUGGCAGUGUUGUAAAAAGAAACUAAAGAUCACAUUUUACCUGUAUGGAUGGAAUAUCCCUUUUCUUCAAAUGCAGUUUGUGAUGUGUUUUUGUAAUUAAAAUGUUCUGAAAGUUACAAUUGAUAUUUGAAAUUGACUGUAGAGCAUUUAGCUGAAGAGUUAAGCAUUUGAUUCCAUUAGGUUUUCACAUGUGUUAAUCUCAUUUACAGCAUCAAAUUGCAGCAGUAACAUUUUCCUUUCUGUGAAGUUCUAAAUUUAGUUAUGACCUACUUAGCAAUGCCUUUGAAGAGGGAUAUUGUAUCCAUGGUAAAUUAAUUGUAUACCUAAACAGAGAUAGCUCAGCUUUGCCUGUCAGGCUUGUAAUUGACAUCUAGUAGACUUCUGCACAUGUAAAAUUAAAUUCAAAUAAAGUCAUAUACAGUUUCUAGUUCUUAAUAUUUGUCUUUCUGAGUAAUAGUUUAAAGCAAUAUUUGUUAAAGUUUUCUUGCACUAUCACAAUUGCUUUUUAGUUAUUUCUCAAGAAGCAUGUUUGUAGUAGAGACAAAAAUCUGUGUAACAGGAGGGAGGAUAGCGCCAAGUCUCUGGGCGUUUUGUUUUUGUUUUUGUUUUUUUGCAAAUGUGCUUCUAAUAGCCAUUGCCUUCCAUGUUGUUUACCUAAUCAGCACAUUUUGUCUGAAUACUUGAACAUUUUAACAGUAACACAGGUAUAGAAGCAGAAAGAAAACUUAUAAAGAGUAAUCUUGUGGUUCAGUUUUAACAUCAUGACGAGCGCUUUUUCUAGCAAUGACUUAAAAAUUUUGUAAGUUUGACAGUAUUUUGUUGUUGGGUUUUUAUUUGGUUUUAGUUGUGUGCUUUUAAUUUGCAGAAGUUAGUAACUGCAGCUCACCUACUGCACCAAAGUUCUCGAUUUUAGGAGCCCAGCUUUAGUCAUUUGAACAUGCUUCUAAAUAAAACAAAACAAAAAAAACCAAAACUAUACUUUUGAUCUAUAAUAAUAGCUCAAUAACUUUGUCAAGGAAAGCUCUAAUAUAUGCAGUGAUGGUUUUUGGAAGGGUGUGGCAAUUUUAAAUUUAUAUUGUGUGUGAUGUUCAAAUAAAGUGUUAUCUACAUUCAUGUGAUUUAUUGGUCAGCAUGACCAUUAAUUAUUGCGUAGAAAUUAAUUAAACUUUGAUUUCCUUUUUUAAAAUCGUGUUGCAUUUGAUUCCUGAUCAAAUUCCCUCAAAGUGAACUCUUGAUUUUAGAUUUUGAAUUUUAUGGUGAGAUUGUAAGGGUGGAGGCAAUUGAAACUUUGUUUCUUAUUUAUAAACUGCUUGAAAUGAAUACCUAAUUUAAGUUUGCACUUUAACACCAAACUUAAAACCAAACACUCAGUUCAAAGUAGGUUAAGUGAUUGUGGUUCAUCUUUAUUAGCUUUGUGAAAUUCUAAAGGAAUCAAAUAAUUCAUAAUGAUUUAAAUUUUCUGCAGAUGGAUUUUUUUUUAAUACAGUGUUUCUUUCCUAUGGGUAGUUCUCAUUCUCUUGCUCUCUCUCGCUCUCUCUGUCACUGACCUCAGCAGCAAGUUUAACUUGAAUUCACUUAGGAUCACAGGAAUCAGGGGAAAGUGAUUUAAAGGUGGUUUCUCCAGCACAUUUUAAGAAAAGGGACCAAAAGUUAUUUUAGCUUCCUCAAUAGAUUGCAUGUCAAGUUGCUUAUUAGGAUAAUAAAUUAAUAUUAAAUGCAAUAUAUGUCUCGUCUUUACUAUGGCAUCUGUUUAGGAGUUGUUCAAAUCACUGCAGUAGGGCUCUGCAAAUAAAAUCAUGUAACCUAUUAUCAUGGAUCUAAUGUACUGUAACUUUAUCAAUGAAAGGUAAAAAAUCUCGAAUAACAAGUACAAACAUUGAACAAUGACCUAUAAAGAUUUGUAAAAGUAAAAUUUUUCCAAUAGAUUUCAUUCUUGUCAUUUUGUAAGACGACCCUGCAGUCCACCUGUUUGUAACUUUUUUAAUAAAAUAGACAUCUGUAUUACUGAG